rnacentral:rRNA from 1 species
UACGUAGGGUGCGAGCGUUGUCCGGAAUUAUUGGGCGUAAAGGGCUCGUAGGCGGUUUGUCGCGUCGGGAGUGAAAUCCACUGGCUUAACUGGUGGCUUGCUUUCGAUACGGGCAGACUGGAGGUAUGCAGGGGAGAACGGAAUUCCUGGUGUAGCGGUGAAAUGCGUAGAUAUCGGGAGGAACACCAGUGGCGAAGGCGGCUUCCUGGCCUGUUCUUGACGCUGAGGCGCGAAAGCUAGGGGAGCAAACGGG